rnacentral:rRNA from 1 species
UGGGAAUUUUGGACAAUUGGGCGAAAGCCUGAUCCAGCAAUGCCGCGUGUGUGAAGAAGGCCUUCGGGUUGUAAAGCACUUUUGUCCGGAAAGAAAUCCUUGGCUCUAAUACAGUCGGGGGAUGACGGUACCGGAAGAAUAAGCACCGGCUAACUACGUGCCAGCAGCCGCGGUAAUACGUAGGGUGCAAGCGUUAAUCGGAAUUACUGGGCGUAAAGCGUGCGCAGGCGGUUUGCUAAGACCGAUGUGAAAUCCCCGGGCUCAACCUGGGAACUGCAUUGGUGACUGGCAGGCUAGAGUAUGGCAGAGGGGGGUAGAAUUCCACGUGUAGCAGUGAAAUGCGUAGAGAUGUGGAGGAAUACCGAUGGCGAAGGCAGCCCCCUGGGCCAAUACUGACGCUCAUGCACGAAAGCGUGGGGAGCAAACAGGAUUAGAUACCCUGGUAGUCCACGCCCUAAACGAUGUCAACUAGUUGUUGGGGAUUCAUUUCCUUAGUAACGUAGCUAACGCGUGAAGUUGACCGCCUGGGGAGUACGGUCGCAAGAUUAAAACUUAAAUGAAUUGACGGGGU